CAGCCGCCGCGGUAAUACCGGCGGCCCGAGUGGUGGCCGCUCUUAUUGGGCCUAAAGCGUCCGUAGCCGGGUUGGGAAGUCCUCCGGGAAAUCUGGCCGCUUAACGGUCAGAAUGCCGGAGGAUACUCCCAGCCUAGGGAGCGGGAGAGGCCGAGGGUAUUCCCGGAGUAGGGGUGAAAUCCUAUAAUCCCGGGAGGACCACCUGUGGCGAAGGCGCUCGGCUGGAACGCGUCCGACGGUGAGGGACGAAGGCCAGGGGAGCAAACCGGAUUAGAUACCCGGGUAGUCCUGGCUGUAAACGAUGCGGACUUUGUGUCGGACAAGCUAUGAGCUUGUCCGGUGCCGGAGGGAAACCGUUAAGUCCGCCGCCUGGGGAGUACGGCCGCAAGGCUGAAACUUAAAGGAAUUGGCGGG
rnacentral:rRNA from 1 species